UACGUAGGGUGCGAGCGUUAAUCGGAAUUACUGGGCGUAAAGCGUGCGCAGGCGGUUUUGUAAGCCAGAUGUGAAAUCCCCGGGCUCCAACCUGGGAAUGCAUUUGGGACUGCAAGGCUGGAGUUUGGCAGAGGAGACUGGAAUUCCUGGUGUAGCAGUGAAAUGCGUAGAUAGUCAGGAGGAACACCAGUGGCGAAGGCGGCUAUCGUGGACGGUUCUGACGCUAAGACGCGAAAGCGUGGGAGCAACAGGG
rnacentral:rRNA from 1 species